AUUGAACGCUGGCGGCAGGCCUAACACAUGCAAGUCGAGCGGGGUUUUCGGACCUAGCGGCGGACGGGUGAGUAAUGCGUAGGAAGCUACCCGAUAGAGGGGGAUACCAGUUGGAAACGACUGUUAAUACCGCAUAAUGUCUACGGACCAAAGUGUGGGACCUUCGGGCCACAUGCUAUCGGAUGCGCCUACGUGGGAUUAGCUAGUUGGUGAGGUAAUGGCUCACCAAGGCGACUAUCUCUAGCUGGUUUGAGAGGAUGAUCACCCACACUGGAACUGAGACACGGUCCAAACUCCUACGGGAGGCAGCAGUGGGGAAUAUUGGACAAUGGGCGCAAGCCUGAUCCAGCCAUGCCGCGUGUGUGAAGAAGGCCUUAGGGUUGUAAAGCACUUUCAGCGAGGAGGAGGGGUUGUGUGUUAAUAGCACGCUAUUUUGACGUUACUCGCAGAAGAAGCACCGGCUAACUCUGUGCCGGCAGCCGCGGUAAUAC
rnacentral:rRNA from 1 species